rnacentral:misc_RNA from 1 species
CAUUCUUGCAGUAUCAGCUACGGCGCAGCAGGCAACUUCUCGCACUGUUGAGCGACCUUUUCUUUCCUGCGUUCUCUUUUUCGCACGGGACGGGCUGCGGCUUAUGCGCGCGUGCGUGUGCUGCGUAGCAAUCCGGCUGUCGGCAAAGCAAAGCGGGGCGUGAGGGGAAGGGCUAUCGGGGAGCGACACGAAUGCCACCCCGAUGUUUCUGAAGUGGUGAGACCAGGCAGAGGUCGAGCGAGGGGAAAAUGCCGCUUUCUUGUUUUGCUCGCUGCGGUCGAGCAGAACACCCAACGACAAACGCGGUGCGGCACGCUACGAUACAAGAUGCCGCGCAGAAGGCACCCCGCAGCAAAAGAUCAUACAUGGGGGCUGAAGAGACGACGGCAGACCCGCCUCGCACAGGCCCGCACCGGUACCUGUCUGUGCUUCGCAUUCCUGCAGCGGCGGGUCGCCGGCAGUGGCGGCAUGGGACGCAUGUGGCGUGCUCUCAACUGCUGCGCUAGCGUUGCAGCACCCCGCCCACUCGCCAGACCCGGCACCUCCGCCUGUGUCGGCUAUGAGAACGCUUGAUCCGGCGCGGUGCCUCGUACGCUAUGUGAGAUUCACUGACUUUUCGAAGCAGACGACGUUGCGGGCCGUCAUCUUGCACAACGCUGCGACACGCCUCACACACACGCUGCACCGGGGCUCCGCCGUCUGGUGUCCAUCGCUGCCCCGCCCCAACCCUUCUCUGCAUUCUCAGCGCGACAGGCUGGGGGCUCUGCGCGGGGCCGGCGCACAGGCGUGGCCCCCGGCCCGGCCCCCUCCGCCAGCCUCCUCUGCCCGGCCACAGCCCCGCGACUGUGAAGGGCGUGCGGGUGGAGAGGAGGUUGGAGCGUCUCCUGCCGCCGCCGGCGCAGGGCGGUAUCCGAACUGUCGCGGCAGCAUGCGGGCAAGCCAUCCAGGCACGCCUCCCCUCCUCCUCCACCUCCCCCCAGGCAAGAACGCCGUCUUGACGCAGGCCGCGGGAUGCCGCAAAUGCGAGCACGGCGUGCAGGCGCCGUGGGGCACAGCCGACACGGUGUACCACACCCAGGCACAGCAUCCGGCGGUCAACGGAGCGCGAGUGAGGGGCGCGAAGCGGCCCAUGCCGAUCACCCCCCUCCCCCGACGAGCAUGCCUGCGAAGCAUGCGGCACAGCCCGUCUGCAUCCCGACGGGGCGGGCUGAUGAGGCGCAGACGCCGGGAGCAUGGCGAGAGCACCGCCGAGCCCUGCAGACUCCCACGCGACGAGUCGCCGCGCCAGAUCACGGAAUAGCGCGACUUGCAGCGGCUCUGGGCGCAGGAGCACGGCACGCAGGCCGGGCCUCAGAGGGCCCUAACCCCGAGGCUGGCCCGCCUCCUCCUCGAGCUCGUGCGGCGUGCGCGGUGGCCGCCCCCUGUUACGCGGGCGACAGAGACGCCGUCGCCACUGCCCUGGAGCGCAGGACGCUGCAGGCGACCCUGCUUGGAUCGAGGCAUGCGCCCCAGCGGAGGCCCGUCUGGCGCCCGAGGCGCGCGGCUCGAUUUCGCGGCAGAGGGCGGUGCGCCCUAGACGACCAGAGUGUAGCCGUGGUGCCGCAGAGGUGGGUGAGCUGUGGUUGCGUGUGCGCUCAUUCGUUGGCGUGUGCGUGGUAGAACAACACGCUGGUAGCAAGGAAAAACAAACACAACGCAGGUGUGCACAUAUAUACUGUCAAAGGCUGUGCUUGAGAAUGCCCUGGCGUCACGCCUCCUUAAUUUUGGAGGUGACAAGAAAGGAGAGAAAGAGGAAUGAAGGGUAUGUGCUCUCGCUGGUGCUUGUGCUGAUCUGUGGGGUUUUGGGCUCUUUGUUAACUCAACCCCUUCGAGGAUCAGCAUCACUGUGAACUGUAGGCGACUGCUGCCUUCGAAGACUAGGGAGGUAGAAGUAUCGCAUAGAAACACGGAAAAAAAAUACGCACCCCCGUACAGUUCAAGGUACGCGGGGCGUUUACACCAUUCUUCGCGUGAGAGACGUCGGUCGUAGCAUGGAUUUGCGCACUAAAGGACUUUCACAGGCAAUUGUUUCGCAUCCGCUAUGCGUCGGAGGCGAGGCGCACACUCGCCGUUCUUGUGUAAGACGCAACCCCGGCUGAUUGAGGAGGAAUCGUGCGGUCGCGUGAACUGCAGCGUCUCCUACGCCAAGCUCGAUGGAAGGAUUUCGCACGCGUGGGGAUUAGUGUGAUGUGAAGACGCUGAUAGCGCAGCUGUCCACCGAGGACGUUCCACCGAACCAUGGGUGGAAGCACGGCUGCAUGGUGUUUUUCUUCAAUCCAGAUAGGCACAAGAGUGAGCCAAACAACGAAAAGGUGAUGCCGGGAGUGCUCAAGGCGCAAGAUGCAGGAGCAGGAGCCACCUCCGGCGCGAAAGAGUAACAAACAAAUCACUAGCAGCUGCUAAGGUUGAGUGCCAUCAGUGACUCCCUCGUUGUGGUGCGCUGCGCGCUGCACCUUCUUUCCUCUCUCUAUUGCGUAUUCAUUUGAUUUGUGUCAACGGCUUCUGCGUCAACUGCCUGUGUCGCUCGGAGAACCCUCUCACCGCCGAGCAGACGCUGCUGGCCAGCUUUCCGCGCACGAUUUCAUGCACAGCGUUUGUGUGUGUGUUCUGAGGCGCGCGGAUCGCCAACCAAUCCAAACUGCACACUUGUUUGCCACCGUUGGAGAGAGGGGUUGAAGAGGAGGUCAGCGCUGAUGUGAUGUUCGGUUUUUCUCCCUUUAGCUUUCGCGUUCAUCACGUUCACCCUCUC